rnacentral:tRNA from 1 species
AAGAUGCUAGUAAAAUCUAAUAUUACCUUGUCUCGUCAAGACAAAAUUGUAGGUUAAAAUCCUGCGCACCUUA